CAAUGAUUGUGAAGGGCUGUGGAUGUGUCAGUGUGGCUUUGGCAGCGUUUGGGACAGGAGCUGCUCUUUGCUCUGCACUGCUCAGUCCUGCUGAACAGGAGACUUGUCCUUUCAGAAAGAAUCAAAUAUUCUGUUGGGGUCAGCUUCUGCACUCAGGUGUCAGUUGAGCAAUAUAGCUCAUGGCAGGACCCAGUAUGCAAACUUCCACGAACGGCCGGAACAUAGCUGUUGUUUGCCAGUUUAGGUUAUUGAUUGCUACAACUAUAAAGAAAUGAAGUUAGAUGCAAUUCCACUGGAGGUGUUCCAAUUAAUUACCCUGUAUGACUUGGUAUAGCCAGUGAAAGGUGACCUGAGAGCCUUCCUAUGGAAUAUGAAUACCUGUGACUUUAUGCUCACCAGUUCCAGGAUGAGUAGAGAUAUCCACCUGUACAGAUAUCUCACCCACUGAAUUAUUAGCAGUUUGACCUGAAACAAGGAUCACUGGUUAGCACAGCUGGCUUCUCAAUGCAUCCAGAGAAAUAGACACCCAAAGUGUUUUCUUUCCUGGAUUUCCUCACCAGUGGCUUUCUAGAAAUGAGCUCUCCAGUGAUGUUUAUUCACCGCUUUGGCCUGAUCUGUAAUUAUGUUCUCUACAUGGCAUGAGCAUUGCAAGGUCAAAUACUCUUACCCCAAGUGUUACUGCUUCAGAGAACAAGCCUUUUGUUACCUGAUCUAUCAAAAUGUGGAGAUUCAGUGAUUAUUUAACAGGCUCAGAAUAUUUAAACAUUCUUGUGCAUUUCCAAACUUUCAGGUACGUCUUGCCUUUUUAGCUUGCAGUUCUCUGGCGUAAGAAUGAAAAAAUCUGAAUCAGACCAGUGAAGCAAAGCCUUUUCUGCAGAGCCUUUUCUUAUAAAAACACAGGAGUGACUUAAGAGAAGCUUCACCAGUACUGGUCUCAGCACAGACCAAGGAAGCCUUGGAGUGUUCUCUGAAAUUCUGGGCUGGCUGCUGCCUGCCUUCAGCUGUGAACCAACCAUGGGGUCCCAGCCCUACAGCACUGAACCCCCAAAAAAUUCCUGCAACUGAGCUGGGUUGUGCAGGUCAGGCUUGGCCCUUUGCUGCUGUUUUACAACUGAUUCAUGCUUGGCUCAAGCACACAAAGAAUGGUUUAGUUACAAAAGCUUUUGAAAGCAAUCCAUACAAUAAUCUGAAUGUAUUCAAGAAUGUUAUCCUGUAACUGAAUUGAGAGGAAACCCUUUUACAGCAUGAGCUAAUGUUUACUAUUAUUAUUAUUAUUAGUGCACAAAUAAAGUGACAAUUUAGUCCAGAGUAAAUAAAAUCAAUCUGAGAUCUGCACCUCAGGUCUAAUGGUGCACUGAUGGCACAU